AACUUACGAAUGGAAAAGCUCACCAGUAAAGGCAAACAUACAGUAAAGAUUGCUAUAUCAAAUCCUCAUGGUAACCGCAAAUUGAAAAUCUACGAUACACAUACAAAAAAGAAAAAGGAAUUGAAACACAACACUAAAGUUAGUCAUCAAAUCACAAGAGAAGAGAACAAAAGAGGAUGGGAACAAGAAAAAUGUUUCGUAACUCUAUGUCUCUUGAUUUUUUGUAUUUUCCAUCUCUAUGUGAUAUGCUGUUUUUUCGUUUCCUCAGCUCUACAUUCUAAUCCAUUGAGUCUUUUGGCUUGGAAUUUGUUUCCAUUACAAGUUUCAUUCAGUUCUUUUUGACAUCUUUCAGGUCCUUUUUAAAGUGACUUGGCCUUUGUUCAUAAAAAGAAUUUUCCUUUAUACAUUGAAUCAUUUAAAACAUAUAAUUGCAUAAUUUGAGAUCAAUAAUUCCAUUACCUGAAAUUUUUGAAUAUCUAACCUGCUCUAAAUUUUAUCUGUUGACAUACUCACAUUGGCUUAUUUCCUUGAUUGUUUUAUAAUUUUGGAUUUUUUAGUUCUGUUUUAAUAAGGAUUUAAUUUGUGUGAAUACUGAAUGGCUUCAGGGUUGAGUGUUUCAUACCUCAAAGUAGUUUGCUUCUGCUGGGAACCCCAGUAAUAUUAUUAGCUCUGGGACAACUUUUGGUUUUGUUGUUGCUGUUAUUGUUACUGUUUUGACUUUGCAGAUUCUUUUUCUUUGGCCAUGCCAUGUGUCUUGUGGGAUUUUGGUUCCCUGACCAGGGAUUGAACCUGCGCCCUCGGCAGUGAAAGCACAGAGUCCUAAUAACCCUAGAGAUUCUUGGAAUGGUAAAAUAAAUGAGUGUAUUCCUAUGAAGCAAGAAGGCUGAUUACUAUGAAAGUAAAUGAAAGACUUCCCUGGUGGCACAGUGGUUAAGAAUCUGCCUCUCCCAAUGCAGGGAACACGGGUUUGAUCCCUGGUCCGGGAAGAUCCCACAUACCA